rnacentral:rRNA from 1 species
UACGUAGGGUGCAAGCGUUGUUCGGAAUUAUUGGGCGUAAAGAGCUCGUAGGCGGUUUGUCGCGUCUGCUGUGAAAACUCGGGGCUUAACCCCGGGCCUGCAGUGGGUACGGGCAGACUAGAGUGCGGUAGGGGAGACUGGAAUUCCUGGUGUAGCGGUGAAAUGCGCAGAUAUCAGGAGGAACACCGGUGGCGAAGGCGGGUCUCUGGGCCUGUACUGACGCUGAGGAGCGAAAGCGUGGGGAGCGAACAGG